UACGGAAGGGGCAAGCGUUGUUCGGAAUCAUUGGGCGUAAAGGGCGCGUAGGUGGUUCUGUAUGUCUACCGUGAAAGCAUACAGCUCAACUGUAUUUUGUCGGUAGAAACUGCAGGACUUGAGGCUGGGAGGGGCUGGUGGAAUUCCCUGUGUAGCGGUGAAAUGCGUAGAGAUGGGGGAGAACACUCGUGGCGAAGGCGGCCAGCUAGACCAGUUCUGACACUGAGACGCGACAGCGUGGGGAGCAAACAGG
rnacentral:rRNA from 1 species